UAUAUUAUUCAUGCUUAGACAACUAAGAUCUAGAGCAACAGUAUAAUUAGUAAAUCUCUGAGCCGUAUGUUAUUAUAACUCUAUAAAACUAAUCAGUACUUACUCCUGAUUCAAAGUAAAUCUGAUUGCAUUUGCAAAUGUAUGGUACUCAUCAAUCAAAGAGAAUGUGGAUUGGCUGGGAUCAGAAAGGGUCCCAAGUUCCAUUUCUUCACGAAAUUUGCCUGCCAAAGAAAAAAAAAAAAAAAAAAAAACAAACAAACAAAUCUCAGUUACUAUGUCAAAUGAUAAUACUAUGUAUCAGCAUCUGGGUUCCUACAUUUUGAUCAUUUUAUUGUAAUUGCGCUGGGAACUACGAAUUCCCCCAAACUUUUAACCAUUACUCAAUUUUCACCUCUAAAGAAAUAGAAAUCCUAUAAGUAGUAGAUGCAAGGUAUUGUAAUUUUAUGUCCAUGUAGUGAUAAAUACCAAUUUUGGUAUUUAUACUAUUUCAGGAACUACUGAUUAGGAGGUUUGGGUUCCAAUUGGCAAAUAAGAAACUAUCAUAGCUACAAUCUUAGACGCGAAGCUGCUCAGAAUGUUUACAUACAAAAUGUUGAAAAGGUGAGAUAUAAGGGUGUUGAAAUGAGUGUUUGAGUCUUAAGACUGCAGGCAAACGGAAAAACAGGAUUUCAGAGAGACUCAAAGUGUGAAUUAGUAGCCUAAACUUGUAAUAAUUUAGUGUUGCAUCAAACUACAGUGACUCAGUGAGUGUGUUCUGUUUAGCUCACAAAACUAUAGGAGGCAACUGGGUAACAACAUUUGUUCUAGAUAAGUUCAUAUGCAUCCCAAAUCAAUAAGUCAAUGAAAAUAUUGAUUUUCAAAAAAAAAAACAACGACAUGGGUUUAGGGUUUAAGAGGGUUUGUGCAACCAUGAGAAAAUUCUCAAAUUGAGAAUCAUAUUCCAUUCAGUGAGGAAGUAAUUGGACAGAAAUUAAACAAUGAACCACGACCAAUUCCGAAUCAAUCAAAUUGUGAAUCCAAUACAAUACCCAAUAAA
rnacentral:lncRNA from 1 species